rnacentral:lncRNA from 1 species
AUGCUGACGAGCUCAGCGGCCAUCCUACACAAACCCAGUCAUCCCCCCGCCUGCCCAGCUCCCUGGGGAAGCCGGCUGCAAUUCCUUACAACAACCAGAGGCAGGAUAUUUCCCCAACUUGUUCCCUCGUUCCCCGUGCAAGACAACAGGGAAAGCAAACAAGAUUUAAGGCAGCCAUCUCCGCAGCUCAGGGGAAUCAUUCCAAAGAUUAAAUCAGCGCUCUGCCAUCAGCUGAGCUUAGCACAUUGCAGCUGGUGCAGUCAUUUAACUCCGUGGCUGCCACAGCCCGGGUGUGCUGGGAUGACAGGCAAACCCCCACCAGCCACCGCCCAGCUCGGCUUGCUGGCAAAACGCAGCGCAAAGAGGUUCCUUACAACCUUGGGGAAGUCACCCGUGUCAGCGGCACAUCAGUCUUGCUCGGUGAAGAGGACAAAAAACAAGAAAGGCUGCAAUAUUUCCUUCUACUGUAGGAUUCAAAAAGCAAAGUAUUUGCAAGGGAGGGCUUGAUUUUGCCUUCAUGGCAGAAAAAUGGAUGAGAUGGCGCUGGGAGGGAUUCCCACGAAGCAUCUCUUGUUGCUUUGCAGUGAGAACUGUUAGCAGCUCUGCUUUGUCUGCAGAUCAGUGAAUGAAAUGGUUAAUAGUUGUGAAGACCAUAACACUCAAUUUUGGGAAUUAAAAGCAAUUACAAGAUUUAGAUGGGAAAUGAUAUAAGCUACCUAAAGCAAUGAAACCACUUAACUUAAAUGAAUAAAAUAACCUUUGGACCAAAUCA